AGUGAACGCUGGCGGUAGGCCUAACACAUGCAAGUCGAACGGCAGCACAGUAAGAGCUUGCUCUUACGGGUGGCGAGUGGCGGACGGGUGAGGAAUACAUCGGAAUCUACUUUUUCGUGGGGGAUAACGUAGGGAAACUUACGCUAAUACCGCAUACGACCUACGGGUGAAAGCAGGGGAUCUUCGGACCUUGCGCGAUUGAAUGAGCCGAUGUCGGAUUAGCUAGUUGGCGGGGUAAAGGCCCACCAAGGCGACGAUCCGUAGCUGGUCUGAGAGGAUGAUCAGCCACACUGGAACUGAGACACGGUCCAGACUCCUACGGGAGGCAGCAGUGGGGAAUAUUGGACAAUGGGCGCAAGCCUGAUCCAGCCAUACCGCGUGGGUGAAGAAGGCCUUCGGGUUGUAAAGCCCUUUUGUUGGGAAAGAAAAGCAGCAGGUUAAUACCCCGCUGUUCGGACGGGACCCAAAGAAUAAGCACCGGCGAACUUCGG
rnacentral:rRNA from 1 species